rnacentral:rRNA from 1 species
UAGGGAAUCUUCCACAAUGGGCGAAAGCCUGAUGGAGCAACGCCGCGUGUGUGAUGAAGGCUUUAGGGUCGUAAAGCACUGUUGUAUGGGAAGAAAUGCUAGAAUAGGGAAUGAUUCUAGUUCGACGGUACCAUACCAGAAAGGGACGGCUAAAUACGUGCCAGCAGCCGCGGUAAUACGUAUGUCCCGAGCGUUAUCCGGAUUUAUUGGGCGUAAAGCGAGCGCAGACGGUUGAUUAAGUCUGAUGUGAAGGCCCGGAGCUCAACUCCGGAAUGGCAUUGGAAACUGGUUAACUUGAGUGUUGUAGAGGUAAGUGGAACUCCAUGUGUAGCGGUGGAAUGCGUAGAUAUAUGGAAGAACACCAGUGGCGAAGGCGGCUUACUGGACAACAACUGACGUUGAGGCUCGAAAGUGUGGGUAGCAAACAGGAUUAGAUACCCUGGUAGUCCACACCGUAAACGAUGAAUACUAGGUGUUAGGAGGUUUCCGCCUCUUAGUGCCGAAGCUAACGCAUUAAGUAUUCCGCCUGGGGAGUACGACCGCAAGGUUG